CCCACAAUGCACAGCGACAGAGGGUAUAUUUUUGGCACGUGACUUCCGCUCUCUCCUUCUCGCUCUUGAUCCUGUGAGAUGUCUUACACGUGGUACAUGUCGUCCAUGUCGAGUUCUCGUACAGCUGACCUCGGGAUGAGGGCCUCCCAGUGGAAUGAAAUCAGAGCCGUAGACGUGGGAUGAAACGAACAAACUACUUUGUGUCCUUGGAAAUAGCAUUACUUUGCAACUGCUGGCCACGUCGCGAUAUCAGUAGUGACUCUCAAUUUGAACUCAAGUGGUAAAUGCAGCAGUUGACUGGCUUUGGGCAGGCCCGGCUUCAGUGACUUGGGCCCCUGCUGACUGGGGGAUUCCCUUUCAGUGAUUUGGGCUAAGUGUGGUGAUUGGAGACUCUUUCCAUACUCCAGAGGCGACUUGGAUUGUGCUGUUUUUUUGUCCUGUCACAGAUUUUUUUUACAAGUAUGUCUUGUAUCUGUUAAUUAAAUUGAAUGUGUCAAAUGUU